rnacentral:sRNA from 1 species
GUAUAAAUACAAGCUGAUCCGCGGCUUAUUAGAGAACAACCUGGGAGAACCCAUAGAGGAAUUUAUGCGGCCUUAUGAUUUACAAGAUCCAAGAAUUCAUACUGUCCUGAGUGGAGAAGUGUACACCUGUAUGUGCUUCCUCAUUGAUAUGGUGAAUGUAAGCCUGGAGCUUAAAGAUCCAAAAAGAAAAGAAGGUGCUGGGUCCCUAGCCAGAUUUGACUUCAAGAAAUGCAAGCUGCUCUAUGAAAGUUUUUCCAACCAAACCAAGUCCAUUAACUUGGUUUCCCAUUCCAUGAUGGCUUUUGACACCCGUUAUGCUGGGCAGAAGACCAGCCCUGGCAUGACGAAUGUGUUCAGCUGUAUCUUUCAGCCCGCUAAGAACAGCAGCACCACCCAAGGGUCCAUUCAGAUUGAACUACAUUUCAGAUCUACCAAGGAUUCCUCCUGCUUUACAGUAGUUCUCAACAAUCUCCGUGUGUUUCUCAUAUUUGACUGGCUACUGUUAGUCCAUGAUUUUCUCCACACUCCCAGUGAUAUUAAGAAACAAAAUCAUGUUACUCCUUCUCGCCACCGUAACUCUAGCAGCGAAUCUGCUAUAGUUCCCAAAACUGUGAAGAGUGGAGUAGUUACCAAGCGGUCUUCCCUUCCUGUGUCCAAUGAAAGGCACCUGGAGGUCAAGGUCAAUGUAACAGGUACGGAGUUUGUGGUCAUUGAAGAUGUGUCCUGCUUCGACACCAAUGCCAUUAUUCUGAAAGGCACCACAGUGCUCACCUAUAAGCCCCGGUUUGUUGAUCGCCCCUUUUCAGGAAGUUUGUUUGGCAUCGAGGUGUUUUCAUGCCGACUAGGGAAUGAGCAUGAUACAGCUCUUUCAAUUGUGGAUCCCGUACAAAUUCAAAUGGAGUUGGUGGGGAAUUCUUCUUAUCAAAAUAGUUCAGGAUUGAUGGAUGCAUUCAAUAGUGAAGAUUUCCCACCUGUCCUGGAGAUUCAGUUACAAGCCCUGGAUAUCAGACUCUCCUAUAAUGAUGUUCAGCUGUUUCUUGCCAUUGCAAAAUCCAUCCCAGAGCAAGCUAAUGCUGCAGUGCCAGACUCAGUGGCCCUGGAGUCAGACUCCGUUGGCACUUACCUUCCAGGUGCAUCUCGCGUUGGAGAGGAAAUCAGAGAAGGGACAAGACACACCUUAGAUCCUGUCUUGGAGUUACAGCUGGCUAGGCUGCAGGAGCUGGGAUUCAGCAUGGAUGAUUGUCGCAAAGCUCUUUUGGUGUGUCAAGGCCAAUUGAAAAAGGCAGCAAGUUGGUUGUUUAAGAAUGCGGAACCUCUGAAGUCUCUUUCCUUGGCCUCCACCAGCCGAGAUAGCCCAGGGGCUGUGGCAGCGCCAUUGAUCUCUGGCGUGGAGAUCAAAGCUGAGAGUGUGUGCAUCUGUUUCAUCGAUGACUGCAUGGAUUGUGAUGUUCCUCUCGCUGAACUCACCUUUUCCCGUCUGAAUUUCCUUCAGCGUGUAAGAACUAGCCCUGAAGGCUAUGCCCACUUCACCCUUUCUGGAGAUUAUUAUAACCGUGCUCUUUCAGGCUGGGAGCCAUUUAUUGAGCCUUGGCCAUGCUCUGUAUCCUGGCAACAGCAGGCAGCUAGUCGUCUCCAUCCUCCUCGACUGAAGCUAGAAGCCAAGGCCAAACCUCGUUUGGAUAUCAAUAUCACUUCUGUGCUAAUUGACCAGUAUGUAAGUACCAAGGAGUCGUGGAUGGCAGAUUACUGUAAAGAUGACAAGGAAAUAGAGUCAGCUAAAUCAGAAGACUGGAUGGGCUCUUCGGUGGAUCCUCCAUGUUUUGGACAGAGUAAGAGUUUUCACUACAUGUGUUUAACUAAAUCACUUUUGACCUACAAAGCAAUGCUUCACUGAGAAAUUCAAAUGGAACCAUCAUUCUGCGUGGAAAAACCUACAGGAAAUUCUGACUAUCUUCUGUAGUUCUGUUUUAGUCUUUGCAGGAGACAGUUUUCUGGCAUGAACUACUGAACUUAUAAAUGUGGGCUGUAAUUCCACCUUUGCGGGGGAGAAAAGAUCUGCAACACGUAAUUCCUAAAUCCUGGUAAUAAUGCAUAUGAGCUGGUGCACCUGAGAAUGCAUCAGGAUCAGCUGUGGUUUGUGUUUUACUCUGCAAAACAUUGGUUUUCUAAUUGAUCGGAUUUUUUUUGACCAGAUUUUUAAAAGCAUCUGAAAUGGUCUUCUAAAUCUAGAGAUAGAGGGUUUGGACAUACUCUUGAAAAGAGGGCGAGCAGGAGCCCAUGUGGAAAAAGUUGUUAAAAAGGGAGCCCUGUGCUGUUCAUAGAGUAUAAAAGAAUUGAAUGCCCUGCCUCUUGAAGAAAGAGGAGUCAGCUUGCUCUCUAUUGAUGAUGCUUUCUUUCCUUAUUUAAUGCCUCGCCAGCUCUGUUUUCCUCAGAGCUGGGGAGAUGGUGAUGGACAACUGCAUGGUCUUAGUUGUUCCACAAGCCAUUGUCAUCCAAAUUCAACUCAGCUCCAACUCUUACAAUGUGGUUUCUUUGGGGAGUCUUGGCUGGACUUCACAUAGCUCAUGAAUACUUAAAUAUUCCAUCUGGUCUGCAAACGUGUCAUGGGAAGAUGGGUGUUCUUAGUGUAUGAAGUAAUUGUACUGGUUCAUCUCUCCUCAGGGUGUAUAAGUGGACUUUCUGUCUGCCUUGUACUUCUAGAAAGAGACACAAAGAAAUGUCAGCUGUGCUUGUUCUCUGUUUUCCCAGGCUGUUGCUUCUGAGUCUCAAGGUCAUUACUUAGGAGCCAGGGCUUUUCAGAUAUUGUCAGCUUUGAUUUUAGCUCCUCCUCCAACCUUCCCAAUUUGUGUGUCAAGAAAAUGUAACAUAGUCUACCCAGAAGACUCUAAAUAAUCUUUGUAAUAUGUCCAAGAGAGUGUGUUUCUAAAACAUUAUUCAUGCAGGGGCAUCUUCAAUUCAGAGUCAAACUCUAGCAAGGCCUGGUCUGCAAGAUUCUGAUGAAAGAUUUUCUUGUCCCUCUCUUUCUUCUUUCCUUCUUCCCUCCCUGCCUGCCUUUCUUCCUUCCUUUUUAAAAUUUUUGUCCCUCUCUCUUUCUCUAUAGUUAAAAGGCUUCCUCAUCUAUAUUAAAUGCUGGUGCUGAGUUAAAGCUUGAUUUUUAUUUAUUUAAAGAUUUUUAUGAUUACUUAGGCUUAUAAAAGUGUAAUCUAUCUUUUUAAUAAGACAUAACUUGAAUAUGCGUAAAUUUCCAAACUUCUUUUCUUAUUGGAAAUUCCUGGAUGGUAGUACAGUACAUUCCAGGAUUGUAUUCUUUUAGCAGGCCUACUAAAAUGAUCAUUGGGAAUUUAUUUUGAAAGUGAGUAGGGUUCAACCUUGUUGAACUAAUCAUAAACUUUCAGGUCUUAUUCAAGAAUAGUAAGUCAUAUUCCUACAAAAGUUAUGCUUUUUAUUCAGACUGGCCUUAAAACAAGCCCUUGGGAAUAGCCCUUAACAUGAAAUUUAGCCUAAGGGACCUGCUGCUUUCUCACUGUUUCUUUAUCAGCGGAAAGAAAAUACCAGCCUCCUUUUGACAAAAUUGUUGGCUUUGUUCAGUCAGGGCUGAGAUUUUGCAGGUAAACCUGGGCGAUGUGGCACUUCAUUGAAUUUAUUAGUUUUGUAUUCCAAGGACAUUUUAUGAAAAUAUCAAAUAUUCUGAAAACUUCCGUGCUUGAUUUAGAAUUUAAAUAAACACUAUGAGACAACUCCUCGGUAGAGAUUGUUUAAAUUUCGAACACAUACUGACUCUUCCCCUGAAUUUUUGAGAUCCCCUGAGACUGGCAUUUUACUUCUGUGUUUUACCAGUUGGAAUGGAGCAACCUUCACUAAAAUCUGUACUGAUGGAUUUUUGUAACUUUUUAAUGCCAUUUAAGAACAUAACACCUUUAAAUUAAAAAUCUUCAAAAGGCUUGUCAUUCUGUUCAAGAGAAGGUUCAAUACAUAUUCUUCUAAUUCAGG